UUAGAUCGUACACACAUUUACUUGGAUAACUGUGGUAAUUCUAGAGCUAAUACAUGCAAACAGAGCUCCGACCGGAGACGGAAGGAGCGCUUUUAUUAGAUCAAAACCGAUCGGUGGUGGAUUUACUCCAUCAUCGUACAAUUUGGUGAUUCUGAAUAACUUUAAGCUGAUCGCACGGUCUAGUACCGGCGACGCAUCUUUCAAAUGUCUGCCUUAUCAACUGUCGAUGGUAGGUUCUGCGCCUACCAUGGUUGUAACGGGUAACGGGGAAUCAGGGUUCGAUUCCGGAGAGGGAGCCUGAGAAACGGCUACCACAUCCAAGGAAGGCAGCAGGCGCGCAAAUUACCCACUCCCGGCACGGGGAGGUAGUGACGAAAAAUAACGAUACGGGACUCAUCCGAGGCCCCGUAAUCGGAAUGAGUACACUCUAAACCCUUUAACGAGGAUCAAUUGGAGGGCAAGUCUGGUGCCAGCAGCCGCGGUAAUUCCAGCUCCAAUAGCGUAUAUUAAAGUUGUUGCGGUUAAAAAGCUCGUAGUCGAAUCUGUGUCUCGCGCCGCCGGUUCAUCGUUCGCGGUGUUAACUGGCGUGCCGCGGGACGUCCUGCCGGUGGGCUUAGCUCGAGAGGGCGGCCCAAAUCAAUCCUGCCGCGGUGCUCUUCAUUGAGUGUCGAGGUGGGCCGGCACGUUUACUUUGAACAAAUUAGAGUGCUUAAAGCAGGCUAAAUUUCGCCUGAAUACUGUGUGCAUGGAAUAAUGGAAUAGGACCUCGGUUCUAUUUUGUUGGUUUUCGGAACCCCGAGGUAAUGAUUAAUAGGAACGGAUGGGGGCAUUC
rnacentral:rRNA from 1 species